GUGCUUCUUUGGUGCAUCCCAGCUGAAGCUUUUUAAUGCAAAAACAGGUUCUUGCACCGUCAUAGAGCAUGCGUCACGGUAUGCUUUGACCCUGAUGGUAGCCGUAGGAAUAAAAAAGGAAAAAGAGCUAGAAACUUGGCUUUAACCUGCUUUAUCGAGGCACGUCAAUUUGAAACACGUGAUCUAGAACUACCAAAAGGCUCUCUGCGGCAUUUAAGGUGCACAGAGUUCUCUAUGACAAAAAAGGGGUGCAUACCCUGUGCAAAAAUAAGCCGCAGAGUCUCAGAGGACCCCACGGAGAGACACAAUGAGGACACAACCUACAGACUGUUUGGACAGGAAGUACUACAACGAGCAGGAGCACGAACAGCUUCACGGCAUUAUGCUGCCAGAUUAACCAUUGGACACACUGGAAAGGACUGGAGGAGAGGAAAGAGGCUCAUCCUGCAGUGUGAACAGGCUUCACAGAUUAGUUGCAUGCUGUCCUGUUGGUGCCGUUUUAGCAUAUAUUAUUUUUUUUAGUAUAUCUAUCAUUUGGAAAGAGAAAAUCUAAUUUGUAAAAUUCAAAGAGAGGAGAUGCUGUGAGAUUCUGUAGCUCUCUAGCUUGUUUUGUGUCUCCCUGUGUCGUGUAUUAUUUGUCCUUACAUGUCACUUUUGUGCAUAUUUUUAAAUCUGCAAAAAUAA